rnacentral:antisense_RNA from 1 species
CUGAACACAAAAUGGCGACACGUGGUUAGCAUUCGUCGCCAACGAGAAAUUGGGGUCGGCCCGAAAGCUCUAGAAUGCACCCCUAUUCCUCCCCGGGGCCAUUCCCGCUCAACGAGUUUUAUGACCUAAAAAACCCCACAGGCUGGUCUGAAGAGGAAGACACUUAAAGAUGAAGUGCUUAAUUCAAGGUCACAGAAUGUCGGGGAUGGACCUCCAGAUUUCCUUACUGACCUGCAUUAUCUUGUGGAUACCUGAGUGAAUUCCACACCACCCAUUUUAUAGAUGAAGCCACUGAGACGUGGAGCAACUGACUGAGUAGUCACUGCCCCACCCCUGCCUGGAGCCUCACACAUGACUUCUCUUAGUGACCACAGGUUGGUUGAGGGGUUUAACAAGGCUAAGAAGGUGAGACGUGGUCUUGUAACACAGUGGUUAAGAAUGUGACUUUGGAGCCAGCCUGCUAGGGGCUGAAUUCUGACUCAGCCAUUUAUUAACUGUGUGACCUUAGGUCAUAGAAUUUUCCACACUCCUUGACGGAGGUUCUUAACCCUUAUCCAUCAGCAUUCU